rnacentral:lncRNA from 1 species
AAACAGUUUGGACCAGGGUUCCUCUGUUUAUCACCUAACAGUCGUUGGUUGGCAUCAGCAGCAGAGGAUGGGGUUUUGUUCAUCUAUCAUACUUUUACUAUGGAUGUACUUGCUCAAAAGCAUUGUCACUCAUAUCAAGGAGGGGGAAUCAGAUCCAUGGUAUUUUCACUGGAUGGCCAAUUCAUGCUCGUUAAUGGCGUAAAUGAUGGUGCCCUGGUGUGUCUGAAAUGGAAGAAGCAUCUGAAUCUUCCAAUAUAGAACUGACAGAAGAAGACAGCAGCUUCACCGGAUUGAAUUCAGCCAUUACUAGUGAAAUGACAUGGAUAGAUCAGAAAAUGAAGAAGGUACUUUCAUAUAACAAACAUUAAUCAAGGCCAGCCUUUUCA